UCACAUUCUUCACCACCACACAGGAGUGUCU
rnacentral:piRNA from 1 species